ACGUCUGGACCAUCUCAUACCUUCCUUCUCCUCACAUCCUUGAAGAUUCACAUCAUUCUUCCUCUGCCACCCACCUCCACCUUGCCACCCUCCAAGACCCCCUCUGCAUUAGGGGAGGAAUUCAGCACCUUUGUUCCCUUCCUUAUCUCAGCCCCAUCACUGAUCCAUGGCGACUUCGACGUCCAUCUGGCCAUCCAGUUCAGCCCCCGGCUGCAUUUUCCAGGACCCCGUCUUACCAUCUGAUGUUCAGAAAGGAGGGUACCGAGAUGACGAGGCAACCACGAGGUCAGGCAGAGGGACACGGCACACACAGCAGCACAGCUAUUCCAAAGAUCUCAGCUCAGAGGGCACAGAAGCACCGAGAACGCCUUCAGAUCGAUCGGUGGAGGAAGCCUAGCACACCCCAUCCUCUGACCCACCCGCUCAAUUCAGGGGCGGCUUCCGGCGGCAAUCAAGUUCACCCGAUGUGGUGAGCAGGAGGAGCCGGGGAAGUGGAAGACGGGACUUUCUGUGAUGCUGGAGAGGAAGGGAUCCAGGCUGACUGGGAGUAAGUGCAGUUUCCUCCUUAAAUGAAGCACGUGUGGGUGAUGAUGAUGGCAUUGGGUAAGCGCUUCCUAUGUUCCAGGCACUAGGCACUAGGGUGGAUACAAACAAAUCAAGCUGGACACAGUACCUGUCCCAAGUGGGGCUCACAGUCUCAAUCCCCAUUUUACAGAUGAGGUAACAGAGGCACAGAGAAGUGAAGUGACUUGACCGAGGUCACACAGCAGACAAAUGGUGGAACCGGGAUUACAACCCAUGACCUUCUGGCUCCCAGGGCCGUGUUCUAUCCACUACACCGUGCUGCU
rnacentral:lncRNA from 1 species